UUUAUAGAAGUCUGCUCUAGAAGUUGUAUAUUUAGGCCACAUAUUCAAGCCGAGACUGCUGAGACUGUGUCAGUAUGUUCCUUUUUUGUGACCAUAAAGUAUAAAGAAACAAACAACAAUCUGUAAUUUUGCGAUUCAAUCACAAGUGGCAGCGAGCAGCAAACCAAUAGAUCAUACAUUUGUAGAUAAAUGUUAUAAAUUUUGGAUCCCCAGAGAAAUACUUAUAAAUUUUGGAAAAGGUGCUCCACGAUGAUGACAAGAUUAUCUUUUUUGAGCCGACUUUUAUUUUAUUUUAUUCGUCUUAUUACCAUAUACUUUGAAUAAUAUUCAAUACUUAGUUGAAAGAGAAAGGUGAUUAAUCAACAGUUAUUUAAUGAAAAGGUUUAUGGAGAGAUAGCAUUAAGAAAGAUUUACAUCCAAGGUCACUUUAUACGACUUAAAUAUCACGGGAGGUCACUUUCUUAUACAAGAGCACUUUCCUUACAACUCAAGUGGGUGUUUUACCUUUCCAAUUCGAUCCCAACUAUAAAACGUGUAACUAGUUUUUUUAAUUGGCGGGCUUUUUCCCCUAGCCACUGAUCUUUAUAAUACACGGUCGGCUGAGAUUUAAUGAGACAUAUCUGAAUACAAACACAAUUCUUUAUUUAUUUCUCUCUCAUUUUUCAAUCUCCGGUAAGCUCACCAAAUCUUUUAUUUUCACCUUCAAUUUUUGAUGGAAUCUCUUAAUCAAACCAAAUUCAGAUGUAUGAUUCCAAAAUCUGAGAACAGAAAAAGAUGCUAGGAUCGAUUCAUGCAUGGGGCAAGACACACUAACCUUUAAGGAAGCUUAAGUUUCUGUACAAGAUGUUGUUGAAGACUUGUUACAGCUCUCGAUAUUGUGGUUUUCUCUCACAUGAACGUAGCUCUCAAUUUCGUCCGAUGAAGCUCCUCUGACUGUGGUCUUCUCUCUCACAUGAACAGAACUCUAUGUUACGGUGUCUAUAUCUCUCUCACAUGAACAAAGUCAUGGCGUUUAUAUCUCCAAUGAAACUCCUCCGACCGUGGACUAUCACCGAUGAACUUCGUCCUAUAGGGCUGAUUAUAGUCAGAGUGAAGCCUCUAAGCAAAGGUGAUAAAGAGCAGAUGAUAGUUAAAAAAGAUCUCUAGUGAUGCCCUCACAAAGCAUACUUUCACUCUCAGUUAAAUCGCUGACCCGGACUCAACUCAGGAUGAAAUCUUUCAACUUGUGGGAGCCCCUCUUGUAGAAAAUUGUCUGGUUGAAUUUAACAGUUCUGGAUUUGAAAGUUUAUAUCUUUGAAUCAAAUAUGUUAUUUACGUUUAUGUGUUAUAUCAUGUAUACACUCCCUGUCUGGACAGUCUUCUCUAUCCAUGUGUACACACGAUCCCAUGUACAACUAUUUUUAUGAUAUUACAAGUGAACUAGUGUACAUGUGAAUCAUUGACAAUGAUAGUAAAAAAUUUUGGGUUUUCUUUAAAAGA